GAUGAACGCUGGCGGCGUGCCUAAUACAUGCAAGUCGAGCGAACAGACGAGGAGCUUGCUCCUCUGACGUUAGCGGCGGACGGGUGAGUAACACGUGGAUAACCUACCUAUAAGACUGGGAUAACUUCGGGAAACCGGAGCUAAUACCGGAUAAUAUAUUGAACCGCAUGGUUCAAUAGUGAAAGACGGUUUUGCUGUCACUUAUAGAUGGAUCCGCGCCGCAUUAGCUAGUUGGUAAGGUAACGGCUUACCAAGGCAACGAUGCGUAGCCGACCUGAGAGGGUGAUCGGCCACACUGGAACUGAGACACGGUCCAGACUCCUACGGGAGGCAGCAGUAGGGAAUCUUCCGCAAUGGGCGAAAGCCUGACGGAGCAACGCCGCGUGAGUGAUGAAGGUCUUCGGAUCGUAAAACUCUGUUAUUAGGGAAGAACAAAUGUGUAAGUAACUAUGCACGUCUUGACGGUACCUAAUCAGAAAGCCACGGCUAACUACGUC
rnacentral:rRNA from 1 species